rnacentral:rRNA from 6 species
GAAGAGUUUGAUCAUGGCUCAGAUUGAACGCUGGCGGCAGGCCUAACACAUGCAAGUCGAACGGUAACAGGAAGCAGCUUGCUGCUUUGCUGACGAGUGGCGGACGGGUGAGUAAUGUCUGGGAAACUGCCUGAUGGAGGGGGAUAACUACUGGAAACGGUGGCUAAUACCGCAUAACGUCGCAAGACCAAAGAGGGGGACCUUCGGGCCUCUUGCCAUCAGAUGUGCCCAGAUGGGAUUAGCUUGUUGGUGAGGUAACGGCUCACCAAGGCGACGAUCCCUAGCUGGUCUGAGAGGAUGACCAGCCACACUGGAACUGAGACACGGUCCAGACUCCUACGGGAGGCAGCAGUGGGGAAUAUUGCACAAUGGGCGCAAGCCUGAUGCAGCCAUGCCGCGUGUAUGAAGAAGGCCUUCGGGUUGUAAAGUACUUUCAGCGGGGAGGAAGGUGUUGUGGUUAAUAACCGCAGCAAUUGACGUUACCCGCAGAAGAAGCACCGGCUAACUCCGUGCCAGCAGCCGCGGUAAUACGGAGGGUGCAAGCGUUAAUCGGAAUUACUGGGCGUAAAGCGCACGCAGGCGGUCUGUCAAGUCGGAUGUGAAAUCCCCGGGCUCAACCUGGGAACUGCAUUCGAAACUGGCAGGCUUGAGUCUUGUAGAGGGGGGUAGAAUUCCAGGUGUAGCGGUGAAAUGCGUAGAGAUCUGGAGGAAUACCGGUGGCGAAGGCGGCCCCCUGGACAAAGACUGACGCUCAGGUGCGAAAGCGUGGGGAGCAAACAGGAUUAGAUACCCUGGUAGUCCACGCCGUAAACGAUGUCUACUUGGAGGUUGUGCCCUUGAGGCGUGGCUUCCGGAGCUAACGCGUUAAGUAGACCGCCUGGGGAGUACGGCCGCAAGGUUAAAACUCAAAUGAAUUGACGGGGGCCCGCACAAGCGGUGGAGCAUGUGGUUUAAUUCGAUGCAACGCGAAGAACCUUACCUGGUCUUGACAUCCACAGAACUUUCCAGAGAUGGAUUGGUGCCUUCGGGAACUGUGAGACAGGUGCUGCAUGGCUGUCGUCAGCUCGUGUUGUGAAAUGUUGGGUUAAGUCCCGCAACGAGCGCAAC